ACUUUCGUUCAUUCAUCCAAUAUCUUUAAACCCUAUCUGUUUUCCACCAGAUUUGAAUCAAACCCAGCUGGCCUCUAUCUCUUACGAAUCCUCUCUCAAAUCUGAAACUCUCUCUCCUUCCAAACCAGAUUCCAUUCGUAAAUGGAUGAAAGGAUUGGGCUUUGAGCCUAGAGAUAAAGAAAAGGGAAAAGGCGAGAGGAGAGCUGAUCUUCUAGUUGUACAGUAAAGGGGUUCGAGCCAAUCGCCAAUUCGAAAACUUGGUCUAAACCCAGAUCUCGCAGUUGGAGCAUGAGUCUCUAGGCUGUGUUUCGCCUCAAUUGCGGAGUAAAGGCGAGCGAUAGCAUCGUCGCCGGAGACGUUGGAUCGGUCGUACUUGUUGCAGAUCGCCUCGACUCUUGUCAGAAGUUCGAUGAAGCUAUCUUAAAUCCAACUCUACCUCGCUAGGUUCCAAUUACAGAGUUGAAGGAAGUGAGAAAUAAGGAGGGAGAAGUUGGAUUUCUGGGUUUGGUCUUCUUCUUCGGUCGUCUUCCUCCAUUUUUCAAUGUGUGUGCGCGGGGUUGGGCAACCAGAAAGGAAAGCGGCUUCAAAGAAGCAACAGUGUGUGUGAGCUUCAAAAUAAUGAAAUUAAUGGAUUUUUGAUUCCAACAAUAUCCAAGUCAUGUGUACUCGGAUCAUUUUUUUUCAGAUGUAUAUAUAGUGGUCUGGGAGGUGGAUUAAUGUGACGAGGGUUGGUGAUAAACAGAAGCUUGGGAUUUAUAUUGUUGAGAGCGAUUAGUUUGACAUGAUUGAAUAUAACUACAGUGUAGUUAUUGGGUUAAUUUUGUUAUUUUGGUUAGAAUCUAGUUUGGGUUGAUGAUUAUCCUGGGUGAAAAAGAUGUCAAAACACAAAAAAAACCACCGUCUUCUUUUUCACUCUGAUCUCAUGCCUUUUAAGAUUAUGUACGUAUUUAGUUUCUGAUUUAGCUCAUUCCCUGGAGCCCCGAAACUACAUGUGCUAACCGGGGGUUUUUGUUGAGCUUGGUAUUGGAGCUUCUAGGUGUUCUUUGAAGCUUUGGAAUGGUUUGGCUUGGUGGGUAUGUGGCCAAGUACAUGUAUUUCGUUUGGUAGUGAUCUAGUGGAGAUUAGGGAUGGUAGUCGUGAUUUGGUGAAGGGUGAUUGUCGGCGGAUAGAUUGAAGGGUUUUCUGAGAUGUUAGGGCGGAGAUUAAAGUGUGGGAAUCGGAAUGGUGGUAUCGGGGACGGAGUUGCAGAAGGAGUGGAGGGAGGGAGGGAGGGAGGGAGAGUGAUAUGCUGUGUGUGGUAUAUGGUUUGUGUUUUGGAGACUUUCACUUUUGGCCCUUGGAUUGAUGUUAGAUGACGUGUCAGCUUGGUAGUGAAGUCCAAGCAGAUUCUAGCACAACUUGUUAUAGCAGAGAAGCCGAGUCCGGAGGAGGAGGAGGAGGAGAAACUUCCUCAGUCUAAUUUGGAGAAGGGAACACGUCCCAGUACUCUCUAUAAAUCCUCCGUUUAACUCUGCUUCAACACCGAGUUCUUCACAUGUUCUUGAUUUUCAGCGUAGAAUCUGAUUCAUACUUUUCUUGCGACAACUCGUCGAUCAAUUGGCGUAUAGAGAUCUUGUGACUCAUCCUCUGACCACCGCUUCAAGUAACAAAGAGAAUACGAGAUAUCAAAAAAGAGCAAAGUGGUGCGAGAGCAACAGGAUAGAGCAAUGCAGCAACUCUUGAUGAAGCGUCGUGGCCGUCCCCACCAACGACAACGCCGUCAGAACUCGUUUCCGGCGUCUCAGUGAGCCCAUGACUCUGUUCAGAGAACGGGAGAUUGAAGGCGAGACCAGCUGAGGACGAUUCUGGCCAAACUCGAUUCGGCGCAGCUGGAGAUGUGAUGCUAGGGUUCAUAUUGCCCACUACUCAGUGCCCAAGGCAACCUUGCGGCUUCAACGUGCGAGGAGGAAGGAGGAUGACCCUGAUCAGAGUCGGGGUUAAUUUGAGAAAUUUACUAACCAAGUGGUCCCCACCGAAGCUGUGUGACAUGCCACGUCAGCGGUUUAACGGUUCUAUAUCACGGAAUGACCUAUGAGAUUAUCAUGUCUAGGGGUGUUUUUGAUGAAAUUGGAAGUCCAGGGACUGAAUUGAUUUUGGACCCAAAUCACAAGGUAGUAACUAGUAUUUAGCCCUAGAUUGAAAUUGCCUAUAUACCAUUACGGAGUUAACGGCUUUAGAUACUUAUGUUGGGUCGGGGGCAAAACCAUAGAUACCAAGGUGAUAUUUUCUAAACUUAAGAUAUCAAAGUUACUAUAAUGGAUCAAAGGUUAGACA